rnacentral:rRNA from 1 species
GACAGAGGGUGCAAACGUUGUUCGGAAUUACUGGGCGUAAAGGGCGCGUAGGCGGACAGUUUAGUCAGAGGUGAAAGCCCAGGGCUCAACCUUGGAAUUGCCUUUGAUACUGGCUGUCUUGAGUUCGGGAGAGGUGGGUGGAAUGCCGAGUGUAGAGGUGAAAUUCGUAGAUAUUCGGCGGAACACCAGUGGCGAAGGCGACUCACUGGCCCGAUACUGACGCUGAGGCGCGAAAGCGUGGGGAGCAAACAGG